rnacentral:rRNA from 1 species
UACGUAGGGGGCAAGCGUUGUCCGGAAUCAUUGGGCGUAAAGAGCGUGUAGGCGGCCUGAUAAGUCGGCUGUGAAAGUCAAGGGCUCAACCCUUGAAUGCCGGCCGAUACUGUCAGGCUAGAGUCCGGAAGAGGCGAGUGGAAUUCCUGGUGUAGCGGUGAAAUGCGUAGAUAUCUGGAGGAACACCGGUGGCGAAGGCGGCAUCCUGGACCGGCAUUGACGCUGAGGAGCGAAAGCCAGGGGAGCAAACGGG